UUUAACUUGAGAGUUUGAUCCUGGCUCAGAAUCAACGCUGGCGGCGUGCCUAACACAUGCAAGUCGAACGCGAAAGCCCCGCAAGGGGUAAGUAGAGUGGCAAACGGGUGAGUAA
rnacentral:rRNA from 1 species